rnacentral:lncRNA from 1 species
AUUUGCUAUUUGUUUAAGAGAUGAAAGCCACAAACUUCCACACAUUCUUCUCCAGUUUCACUCCCCUCGAACUGUAUGGCCCGGCCAGAGCAGAGUGGUUCAGGGCAAGGAGGCGUUUCGAGAAUGCACACCGGGCCCAUUUAACGAGCUUUAUCAGGAACCCAGCGUGGUGAGGAUCUCCCCUCCUUUGGGCCAGCUGUCCCUUUAUGAAGACUUCACUGUGGUCACAAAAGGGAUGUGGUGAGGUGACUCAAGUCCUUCAGAACAAAUGUGAUCUGGACAGAAUCAGGAAGGGAGUGAGUGGAGAAAGUCAACUGAUGAUGUUGAGGGGCCAGCAGCGACGUUAGUCACAGCAUGGGGGCUCCCUGCUCCCUCCCCUCCCCCAGCUGCUGGAUCCUCCUUUUGAAUGCAAAGGAGAGACUGGGAGCUCUCCGCAGAGUCAAACGUGGAUCUCCAUCUCAAUGCCCAGAGACAAAGGCCAAAAAAUGCACAUAGCAAGAUUACAUUUCCCAGACUCCUUUGCAGCUAGGUUUGGAUGACAGGAGUCCUGACCAAUGGCAUGUGGGCAGAAGUGAUGGGAUGUUGUCCAUGCUCCUUCCCCUCCAAUCAUACAUUUAAGGUGACAGCCUCAUAAGUUGGAAGUAGCCUAGAACUGCCAGGUAGGACCGCCUGAUGCUCAUCGGUUGGGAUCGGUACUAAUGGUUUGGUAUGACCUACAUAAUCUGGACAAGAAAGCUAACAAAUAGAGAAAAGGUACCAACUUCGAAAACAUACUAAACCUAAAAACAGUCGUUUAGGAAUGCAUAUGUAUGUAUUAAAAAUAUACUGAAAAGCAAGACUAAAAAUAAACAAACAAAAAAUCCAGAAGGCUAUUUUUCCCUCAGGUGGAGGAUGGAGAAGGGCGUGAUUAAGAGAGCACAAAAGGGGCUGAUUCAAAUGCAUUGGUAACACUGUCUUUAUUGGUAUGGGUCAUUUAUAUACGGUUUUCAUUAUGUUAUUUUUAUGUGUUAUUGUUGUAGAAAUAAUACACAAUAAAAAUUUAAAAGACAUGAUGGUGUUUUAUAUGUUAUCAUUUGUCUAUCUGUCUAUCUAUCUAUCUAUCUAUCUAUCCCUUUUCUCAUUCUGUGUAUA